UCAGGGAAACUAAUGUAAAAUGCAGGCUAACUAGCUAAUAUUCUCUACUGUGGUUCCAUGAAUGGUGCAUCACUUUUGUAAACCAUGAAGAAUUAAAUCAAUAUGAAAUAUUAUUAUUUAGUUAGGUAUGUAUCUGUUUAGUUAUGUUAACUGACUUAAUGUUUUCUACUACUAUCCCAGGAAUCUCCUUGAAUACACUAGGUCUCUCUCUUUCUUUCUUUCUUUCUCUUUCUUUCUUUCUUUCUUUUCUUUCUUUCUCUUUCUUUCUUUCUUUCUUUUCUUUCUUUCUUUCUUUCUUUCUUUCUUUCUUUCUUUCUUUCUUUCUUUCUUUCUUUCUUUCUUUCUUUCUUUCUUUCUUUCUUUCUUUCUUUCUUUCUUUCUUCCUUCCUUCCUUCCUUCCUUCCUUCCUUUUCCCCUUUGAUCCUUAAUUUUACUUCAUUUCCCCUUCUGGACAAAGUCAGAUCUUCACCCUGCUGCCAUAUAGCAGGUUUUUAAUAUUGAGACUCCAGCCCAGUUCUUAAUGCUAUACAGUUCCCUUCGGUNUUGCCUUACAUUCCUUCUAUCCUAAGUAUUCUCUUUUAGGAACCCCUUGCUCCUUUCAAGGGUUAGCUCAAUUCCUACUAGAGUCUCCCAUUUAUCUUUAUUUUGCAUACAUUUUAUAUUUACUUAUCUCUGUGUGUCUCUCCAGCAAAGUAUAUGUUCCUGGAGAAGAGGAAAUGCCUCAUUUUGCAUUUGAAAGAGAUUCCUUGACAGUAGAUCUAGAGUCAGGACUUGAAUCUAUAUCUCUUUUUAGUGCUGAUGCUGUUCUUUAAACCACUCUGCCUGGUAGCUUUAAGAAACUUUCUCUUAUUUCUUAUAUAUGUUUAUGUUUAUAAUUAAUUUAUCUUAUAUUUAUUAAAAUAACUACAUGUAAUUAAGUACUUUGUUGAAUUUCCUAGAAAAUAACAUAUUCUGUGGAGGAAAAUUAAUUCUAUGAUACUUGAAAUGGGCAAAUCUUGAUACUGUACUUUUUAGUUGAAUAGUCAUUCUAGCCUUCUUUUAACCUUGUGUGCUCAUUUUCAAUGCUUAAAGACCCACUUGUUUAAACCAAUCUUGAAAGCACAUUAGUGAUAUGUGGGUGAAUGUAGGGAAGGCCUACAGAGACCAAACGAAAAUGUACCUUGAUGGUUUCUAUAUACUGUAGAACAAAUCAGUUACUUGUUAAUGACCAGUUUAAGACACUUCAUUGCCCAGGUUCAUUAUUACUUGAUUGGUAAUAAAUGACAAACAGGCCAUUAAUGUUGUUAUAAA
rnacentral:lncRNA from 1 species